rnacentral:rRNA from 1 species
AUUGAACGCUGGCGGCAGGCUUAACACAUGCAAGUCGAGCGGGGGAAGGUAGCUUGCUACCGGACCUAGCGGCGGACGGGUGAGUAAUGCUUAGGAAUCUGCCUAUUAGUGGGGGACAACAUCUCGAAAGGGAUGCUAAUACCGCAUACGUCCUACGGGAGAAAGCGGGGGCUCUUCGGACCUUGCGCUAAUAGAUGCGCCUAAGUCGGAUUAGCUAGUUGGUGGGGUAAAGGCCUACCAAGGCGUAGAACUGUAGCGGGUCUGAGAGGAUGAUCCGCCACACUGGGACUGAGACACGGCCCAGACUCCUACGGGAGGCAGCAGUGGGGAAUAUUGGACAAUGGGGGGAACCCUGAUCCAGCCAUGCCGCGUGUGUGAAGAAGGCCUUAUGGUUGUAAAGCACUUUAAGCGAGGAGGGGGCUACUCUAGUUAAUACCUAGGGAUAGUGGACGUUACUCGCAGAAUAAGCACCGGCUAACUCUGUGCCAGCCGCCGCCGUAACAC